rnacentral:rRNA from 1 species
GAUGAACGCUGGCGGCGUGCCUAAUACAUGCAAGUCGAGCGAACAGACGAGGAGCUUGCUCCUCUGACGUUAGCGGCGGACGGGUGAGUAACACGUGGAUAACCUACCUAUAAGACUGGGAUAACUUCGGGAAACCGGAGCUAAUACCGGAUAACAUGUUGAACCGCAUGGUUUAACAGUGAAAGACGGUCUUGCUGUCACUUAUAGAUGGAUCCGCGCCGCAUUAGCUAGUUGGUAAGGUAACGGCUUACCAAGGCAACGAUGCGUAGCCGACCUGAGAGGCUGAUCGGCCACACUGGAACUGAGACACGGUCCAGACUCCUACGGGAGGCAGCAGUAGGGAAUCUUCCGCAAUGGGCGAAAGCCUGACGGAGCAACGCCGCGUGAGUGAAGAAGGUCUUCGGAUCGUAAAACUCUGUUAUUAGGGAAGAACAAAUGUGUAAGUAACUAUGCACGUCUUGACGGUACCUAAUCAGAAAGCCACGGCUAACUACGUG